AAGACUAUAGACCUGCGGAGUACCUGCGGAGGGAUCAUUAUCGAGUUUACCAACACCGGAGGCGCGACUGCUGCUGGCGUUCCCCAUCGGAGGGGGAAGGCAUGUGCGCGUUCGUCUUUGGGCUUUUUCCACUCACACCUGUGCACUUUUGAAAAGGGGGGGGAGGGCAUCGUAGCCUUUUUCUCUCCUUUUUUUUAAACACGAACCCUUGACGAAGUUAUUGAAUGUAAUUUGUUUUUA
rnacentral:misc_RNA from 1 species